rnacentral:rRNA from 1 species
AGAGUUUGAUCCUGGCUCAGAACGAACGCUGGCGGCGUGCUUAACACAUGCAAGUCGAACGUGAUUCAGAGCUUGCUCUGAUGAAAGUGGCGCACGGGUGAGUAACGCGUGGAUAACCUGCCCUGGUAUCUGGGAUAACAUCUCGAAAGGGGUGCUAAUACCGGAUAAGCCUCCGGGAUCUUCGGAUUCUGCAGGAAAAGAAGGCCUCUAUUUAUAAGCUUUCGUAUCAGGAUGGGUCCGCGUACCAUUAGCUAGUUGGUGGGGUAAUGGCCUACCAAGGCGACGAUGGUUAGCUGGUCUGAGAGGAUGAUCAGCCACACUGGAACUGAGACACGGUCCAGACUCCUACGGGAGGCAGCAGUGGGGAAUUUUGCGCAAUGGGGGAAACCCUGACGCAGCAACGCCGCGUGAGUGAUGAAGGCUUUCGGGUCGUAAAGCUCUGUCAGAGGGGAAGAAAUGGAACUGGCUAAUAUCCAGUUUUCUUGACGGUACCCUCAAAGGAAGCACCGGCUAACUCCGUGCCAGCAGCCGCGGUAA